rnacentral:lncRNA from 1 species
CUUAUCACAUUUGUUAAUGUAACUAGUUUUACUAUAAAAUACAUACAUAUUUUCUUUCUAUUUGAGGCUAUGAUUCAAGCUCAAUGAAAAAUUAAAAUAAUAUGAAUAUCUUUCCAACUUUUCCUUACAAAAGUGGAGAAGCUUGUAUCCAGUAAGGCCGAAGACAGAUGAGUUCUAGGAUGAAACAACUCUGUUUCCUUCAGAAUAUACAAUGCACAAGCUAAAUUUCAAAAAGACUGAAAAGAACAUGCCUGUACCUAUUUUCCAAGAUUUCUUUUGUCCUACAGUUCACUGGCUCCAAGGUGUCGGAACAGGAAACUAUGAUGUUGAAGGGCAUGUUUUCAGUUAUAAGGGAACCAGAAAACCACUAAGGUAUUUCUCUACUUUCACUUUAACUGAUGUUAUCUCUAUUUCUAUUUGUCUUAACCUUAGCUUGGAGAGUUAUUAGGUAGUCGUCCUGAAUUCUUCAUAAUUCCUUUUAAAGAAAGUUGACCAUAUUUUAAACUCUAUAGUUUCUGGAAAUUAAAUGCCAAGUUAUAUUUCCAUACAGUUCACAUAGAAUCUGGAGAACUAUAAUAAAUUAAGGGUGAGUGAAAAUGUGAAUUCA